UCCCCUUGGCAAUGGGCAAAGAAACACCUUGUUGGUGAUGUUAUUCUUAUAUCAACCAGGGCAGUUCUUUGUUCAUCCUAGCUGGAUGUCUGGCUUGGUGGCCAAAGCUGUUUUAUGCCCAGGACACAUAA
rnacentral:snoRNA from 1 species